GUAGGGAAUCUUCGGCAAUGGACGAAAGUCUGACCGAGCAACGCCGCGUGAGUGAAGAAGGUUUUCGGAUCGUAAAACUCUGUUGGUAGAGAAGAACGUUGGUGAGAGUGGAAAGCUCAUCAAGUGACGGUAACUACCCAGAAAGGGACGGCUAACUACGUGCCAGCAGCCGCGGUAAUACGUAGGUCCCGAGCGUUGUCCGGAUUUAUUGGGCGUAAAGCGAGCGCAGGUGGUUUAUUAAGUCUGGUGUAAAAGGCAGUGGCUCAACCAUUGUAUGCAUUGGAAACUGGUAGACUUGAGUGCAGGAGAGGAGAGUGGAAUUCCAUGUGUAGCGGUGAAAUGCGUAGAUAUAUGGAGGAACACCGGUGGCGAAAGCGGCUCUCUGGCCUGUAACUGACACUGAGGCUCGAGAGCGUGGGGAGCAAACAGGAUUAGAUACCCCAGUAGUCC
rnacentral:rRNA from 1 species